rnacentral:rRNA from 1 species
AGAGUUUGAUAUGGCUCAGGAUGAACGCUGGCGGCGUGCCUAACACAUGCAAGUCGAGCGGAGAUAUGAGAUGAUCUUCGAGUGAAUUUCCUUAUCUUAGCGGCGGAUGGGUGAGUAACACGUGGGUAACCUGCCCUGCACAGGGGGAUAACAGCUGGAAACGGCUGUUAAUACCGCAUAUGCACACGCUGCCGCAUGGCAGAGGGUGGAAAGAUUUAUCGGUGCAGGAUGGGCCCGCGUCGGAUUAACUGGUUGGCAGGGUAACGGCCUACCAAGGUGAUGAUCCGUAGCCGACCUGAGAGGGUGACCGGCCACAUUGGGACUGAGACACGGCCCAAACUCCUACGGGAGGCAGCAGUGGGGGAUAUUGCACAAUGGGCGAAAGCCCUGAUGCAGCGACGCCGCGUGAAGGAAGAAGUAUUUCGGUAUGUAAACUUCUAUCAGCGGGGAAGAAGAUGACGGUACCCGACUAAGAAGCCCCGGCUAACUACGUGCCAGCCGCCGC